rnacentral:rRNA from 1 species
GAUGAACGCUGGCGGCGUGCCUAAUACAUGCAAGUCGAGCGAACAGAUGAGGAGCUUGCUCCUCUGACGUUAGCGGCGGACGGGUGAGUAACACGUGGAUAACCUACCUAUAAGACUGGGAUAACUUCGGGAAACCGGAGCUAAUACCGGAUAAUAUAUUGAACCGCAUGGUUCAAUAGUGAAAGACGGUUUUGCUGUCACUUAUAGAUGGAUCCUCGCCGCAUUAGCUAGUUGGUAAGGUAACGGCUUACCAAGGCAACGAUGCGUAGCCGACCUGAGAGGGUGAUCGGCCACACUGGAACUGAGACACGGUCCAGACUCCUACGGGAGGCAGCAGUAGGGAAUCUUCCGCAAUGGGCGAAAGCUUGACGGAGCAACGCCGCGUGAGUGAUGAAGGUCUUCGGAUCGUAAAACUCUGUUAUUAGGGAAGAACAAAUGUGUAAGUAACUAUGCACGUCUUGACGGUACCUAAUCAGAAAGCCACGGCUAACUACGUG